rnacentral:rRNA from 1 species
AGUGAACGCUGGCGGCGUGCUUAACACAUGCAAGUCGAACGAGAACGGAAUAUAGCUUGCUAUAUUUGUCAGCUAAGUGGCGCACGGGUGAGUAAUGUAUAGAUAACCUGCCCUUAAGAAAGGAAUAACAGGUGGAAACGACUGCUAAUGCCCUAUAUGCCUUUAAUACAUAAGUAUGCAAGGGAAACGAUUUAGUGAUUGAGGAUGGGUCUGUAUGGUAUCAGCUUGUUGGUGAGGUAAUGGCUCACCAAGGCUAUGACGCCUAACUGGUUUGAGAGGAUGAUCAGUCACACUGGAACUGAGACACGGUCCAGACUCCUACGGGAGGCAGCAGUGGGGAAUAUUGCACAAUGGACGAAAGUCUGAUGCAGCAACGCCGCGUGGAGGAUGACACAUUUCGGUGCGUAAACUCCUUUUAUAUAGGAAGAUAAUGACGGUACUAUAUGAAUAAGCACCGGCUAACUCCGUGCCAGCAGCCGCCGCGGUAA